rnacentral:rRNA from 1 species
AGUGGACGCUGGCGGUAGGCCUAACACAUGCAAGUCGAACGGCAGCACAGUAAGAGCUUGCUCUUACGGGUGGCGAGUGGCGGACGGGUGAGGAAUACAUCGGAAUCUACUUUUUCGUGGGGGAUAACGUAGGGAAACUUACGCUAAUACCGCAUACGACCUACGGGUGAAAGCAGGGGAUCUUCGGACCUUGCGCGAUUGAAUGAGCCGAUGUCGGAUUAGCUAGUUGGCGGGGUAAAGGCCCACCAAGGCGACGAUCCGUAGCUGGUCUGAGAGGAUGAUCAGCCACACUGGAACUGAGACACGGUCCAGACUCCUACGGGAGGCAGCAGCGGGGAAUAUUGGACAAUGGGCGCAAGCCUGAUCCAGCCAUACCGCGUGGGUGAAGAAGGCCUUCGGGUUGUAAAGCCCUUUUGUUGGGAAAGAAAAGCAGCAGGUUAAUACCCCGCUGUUCUGACGGUACCCAAAGAAUAAGCACCGGCUAACUUCGUG